UACAGAGGUCUCAAGCGUUGUUCGGAUUCAUUGGGCGUAAAGGGUGCGUAGGUGGCGCUGUAAGUCUGGUGUGAAAUCUUCGCCGCUUAACGGGAAGCAGCCACUGGAAACUGCAUAACUUGAGUAUGGUAGAGGCAAGCGGAAUUCCUGGUGUAGCGGUGGAAUGUGUAGAUAUCAGGAAGAACAUCUGUGGCGAAGGCGGCUUGCUGGGCCAUUACUGACGCUGAGGGACGAAAGCGUGGGGAGCAAACGGG
rnacentral:rRNA from 1 species